ensembl:ncRNA F35G2.16 ncRNA
GUUUGAGUCGGGUUUGACUGACUGAAAAGUCGAAAAUGAGUGUGAGACGAAAUGGGGGGAGUAAACGCUGAGAAGCGGUCAUUAGACCAGUUUUAAAGGAUUUCACUCUCCCUAGAAUUGUGUCUUCUCAAGAAGAAAUGAAGCGAA